UAUUAAGGACAUACCUUGAGAACUUUUGUUCCAGGCAAGAGGGAUCUAAGGGGCUAAGAGAGGUGGGUCUGGUCCCAGCUGUGUUGGUGAGAGGUAGCGUGUGGACAUCUGUGUUGCAUAAUUCUGGACAGGCAGCAAAGCCUGACCUGUGGAUGGGGCCUGGGAGAGGAGGACACCCAAUUCCAGCACAGAAAAGUAGUACUGUAUUUUCCUGGGUCAUCAAAUGAGCAGUAAUCUGGGAACAAAAGAUGAUUAGCCAUGGAUGCCUGCCGAGCUGAGCCAGUUGCUUGCACACCCUAAAGGAAUGUAACAACCAAAGGAAGUGCCUGAUCCUUGAUGGAAUCCCGUACUGAAAAGAAUAAAAGUAAAACUGCUAUAAAGGACAUUAUCGAGACAUUUGGGGAACUAGAAUAUGAGCUGUAUGAGGACAGCCUUGUAACAAUGUUAAACAUUUUGGUUAUUCUGGUAUUUAGUUAGUAUUUUUGUUGUGUGGGAGAAUGCCGCUUGUUGUAGUAUUCUGCUUGAUACACGGAUGC
rnacentral:lncRNA from 10 species